rnacentral:rRNA from 1 species
UAGGGAAUCUUCGGCAAUGGGGGGAACCCUGACCGAGCAACGCCGCGUGAGUGAAGAAGGUUUUCGGAUCGUAAAGCUCUGUUGUUAAGGAAGAACGAGUGUGAGAAUGGAAAGUUCAUGCUGUGACGGUACUUAACCAGAAAGGGACGGCUAACUACGUGCCAGCAGCCGCGGUAAUACGUAGGUCCCGAGCGUUGUCCGGAUUUAUUGGGCGUAAAGCGAGCGCAGGCGGUCAAUUAAGUCUGAUGUGAAAGCCCCCGGCUCAACCGGGGAGGGUCAUUGGAAACUGGUUGACUUGAGUGCAGAAGAGGAGAGUGGAAUUCCAUGUGUAGCGGUGAAAUGCGUAGAUAUAUGGAGGAACACCAGUGGCUAAGGCGACUCUCUGGUCUGUAACUGACGCUGAGGCUCGAAAGCGUGGGGAGCGAACAGG